GACGAACGCUGGCGGCGUGCCUAAUACAUGCAAGUAGAACGCUGAAGGAGGAGCUUGCUUCUCUGGAUGAGUUGCGAACGGGUGAGUAACGCGUAGGUAACCUGCCUGGUAGCGGGGGAUAACUAUUGGAAACGAUAGCUAAUACCGCAUAACAGUAGAUGUUGCAUGACAUUUGCUUAAAAGGUGCAAUUGCAUCACUACCAGAUGGACCUGCGUUGUAUUAGCUAGUUGGUGGGGUAACGGCUCACCAAGGCGACGAUACAUAGCCGACCUGAGAGGGUGAUCGGCCACACUGGGACUGAGACACGGCCCAGACUCCUACGGGAGGCAGCAGUAGGGAAUCUUCGGCAAUGGACGGAAGUCUGACCGAGCAACGCCGCGUGAGUGAAGAAGGUUUUCGGAUCGUAAAGCUCUGUUGUAAGAGAAGAACGGGUGUGAGAGUGGAAAGUUCACACUGUGACGGUAUCUACCAGAAA
rnacentral:rRNA from 1 species